UACGUAGGGGGCGAGUGUUAUCCGGAAUUACUGGGUGUAAGGGGUGCGUAGGCGGCGAGAUAAGUCAGCUGUGAAACCCUGGGGCUCAACUCCAGGCUUGCAGUUGAAACUGUUUUGCUAGAGUACAGGAGGGGAAAGCGGAAUUACUAGUGUAGCGGUGAAAUGCGUAGAUAUUAGUAAGAACACCGGCGGCGAAGGCGGCUUUCUGGACUGAAACUGACGCUGAGGCACGAAAGCGUGGGGAGCAAAC
rnacentral:rRNA from 1 species